rnacentral:RNase_P_RNA from 1 species
CCAGACGGCUGGACGGUCGCCCUUGCUUUAUUGCGGGGAGGAAAGUCCGGGCUCCACGAAAAAACGGUGCCGGGUAACGCCCGGCGGGGGCGACCCCAGGGAGAGUGCCACAGAAAGCAAACCGCCCGCCGACGCCUCUGGCCGAAGGCGGGUAAGGGUGAAAGGGUGCGGUAAGAGCGCACCGCGUUCCCGGCGACGGGGACGGCACGGUAAACCCCACCGGGAGCGAGACCAAGUAGGGGCGGCAUGCCGGAGUUACUCCGGCGGGCGGGUUUUCGCGCCGCCGUCCGGGUAGGUCGCGCGAGGCGUCCGGUAACGGGCGUCCUAGAUGAAUGGCCAUCCCCCGCGGUAACGCGGGGACAGAACCCGGCUUACAGGCCGUCUGGCGCU